UAGCCCAGUGCCCAUUAGACAGACAUCUACAUUACAGCCAGAGCCAUUGUGACAUUGGCAAGGUCUGAUGGCUGUGACGCAUUUUCUCACUGAAGUCCCCUUUUGGAAGCAGAGCUAAUCCCUUUUGCACACUGUGGGGUCCCUCCUCCUCAGAACCACUCGUGCUCGUAACCUCUGUGGUCUCUGAGGGCAGAACAUCCACCUGCAGGGCUUUUAGGAUCAUCCUUUUUUUCUGAGACACGCAGCGACUCGCUGCCAGCAGAGUGUGCGGAGCCCUCCCCUCAGCCCAGCUUUCAAGCCUCGUUGGAUCCAUACGCUUCGAGUGAUCAGGGUGAUUUUUCUCCUGGUUUCUGCACAGAUUCUGCCUCUUCUGUCAGUUGUACUUACAUUUUUGUGUGCUUUUCUGCUGAUAAAAUUCCACUGACGUCACCCAUAGCAAACCUUCAUGCUUGAUAAAUGUGUGAACAAGAAAGGAAUAAGGCUCACACUAAACAAACAAAUGUCAAUCAUAAAGGAAUAAGUAGGGGUUUCAGCCUUCUCAGAGAAAAGACCUGAAGGACAGGAGUAGGACCUCCCAGGCUCGGCCUGAAAUGGAUCUGAACUGAUAUUUUCAGGAGUGCUCAGCUACAGCAGGUUCUCCUUUCAAUAGGAUGAAAGAAAGAAAAAAAUAACUCUCUGGGGGUUUUCUUUACAUUGAAUACCUGAAACCUGAAUAAAAAGCUAGACAUUAAAAGAG